rnacentral:rRNA from 1 species
UACGAGGGGGGCGAGCGUUGUUCGGAAUUAUUGGGCGUAAAGGGUGCGUAGGCGGUUUGGUAAGUCUGAUGUGAAAUCUAUGGGCUCAACUCAUAGUCUGCAUCGGAAACUGCCGGGCUUGAGUGUGGGAGAGGUGAGUGGAAUUCCUGGUGUAGCGGUGAAAUGCGUAGAUAUCAGGAGGAACACCUGUGGCGAAAAGCGGCUCACUGGACCAUAACUACGUGAGACACGAAAAGCGUGGGUAGCAAAACAGG